UCAAGCGACAUAUCAAGCCACAUAUCAGAUAAUAUAACCAACAUUUUUAACCAUUAUAAAUCGCUACCUAUUCAAAAAAAUGCACACAUAUGUAAUGACUAUACCGCAAACAAUAACAACAAUUAUAACGUCGUAUCGAACAAUUCUUUUUAUAAAUGCGUAAAAAAUAAUUUAUUCGAAUUUUUACCAAAUAAAAUUGAAGAGGAUGAUUAUUAUAUAUAUAACAAAAAUAUACAUAAUCCUAUGUUUGUAGCAUGCGAAAUAUAUGGAACACCUUCCCCAUUAGGUCCUCCCGUAGUAACAUUUCAAGACGACGAUGUAGGUGAUGACUGUAAAACCAAAAAUGACAGUAAUAUAAAUAAAAAAAAAAAAAAGUAUAAAAUUUGCUGAUGAUAGUAGUAAUGACAAUAAUAACGUAUCAAAUAAUUUUAGUAGUCCAGAAAAAGAAAAAAAGAAAAAAAUAUCAUUUGUUAUUGAAGAAAAACCAUCUAUUAAUUUAGAAAAAAAAAAAACCAAGAACUCGAAAAGCUACAGGGUAUAUAAAAGUGGAUGUUAAAAAAUUACUCGAAGAGAUAGGAAGUGAUAUAGAGGAUGAUUCAAAACAAUCGGAAACAAAAACAGAUAGUAAUAAUGGCGAUGAAGAUGAUGAUAAUGAUGAUGAUGAUGAUGAUAAUGAUGAUGAUGAUGAUGAUAAUGAUGAUGAUAAUGAUGAUGAUGAUGAUGAUAAUAAUAACACUAAUAAAAAAAAAUAAAGAAACUGAUGAUGGUGAUGAUUCAGAAGAUAUGAAUAUAUCAUUCAAAAAUGAAGAUAUUUCAACAAUAAGAAAAAAAAGUGUAUCUUUUAGUUCGGAAGAAGAACAUUUUUAUGUCGAAAAAGAUGGUACACACGGUAUGCGUAAAUUGCAAAACAAAAAUAAAAAAAAAGUAGGAUUUACAAGCAUAAGUAGUGAUAAUAGUGAGAAUAUGGAAGCACAUGAUAAAGAAAAUAAAACAAUAACGGAUGUAUAUAAAGAAAAAAAAAAAAAAAAAGGUAUAACUUUUAGUAAAAAUGUCGAAGAAGAUACUGAGAAUGAACCAUUUACAGAUAGUGAUACAAAUAUGCAAAAGGAAACACAUCACAGCGAAACAGAUACAGAUACAGAAAACAAAGAAGAUAAGCUUAGUAAAACGGAUUCGGAAAACGAAAGUGAUUUAGAUACUGAAACAGAUACGGAAACAAAAAAGAUAAAUCAGAUGAUGAAUCUGGUGGGGAAUAUAUUAGUAGCGGAAAUAACAGUUCUAAUAAUAAAAGUGGAAAUAAAAAAAAAUGGAAAUUAUGAAAAUUAUGAAUGUGGUAAUAAUGAUACAGAAACUAAUAAUGAUGAUAAAUAUGACAAUAAAAAUAUGGCGAGGGGAAAUAAAAAUAAUUAUAAUAAACAAAGUGAAAUAAAAAAAUAA
rnacentral:lncRNA from 1 species